rnacentral:rRNA from 1 species
GCGGCGGACGGGUGAGUAACGCGUGGGUAACCUGCCCUAAAGACCGGGAUAACAGCGGGAAACCGCUGCUAAUACCGGAUACCUUUACUGGGGGGCAUCCUCUGGUAAAGAAAGGAGCAAUCCGCUUUAGGAUGGGCCCGCGUCCCAUUAGCUAGUUGGUGAGGUAACGGCUCACCAAGGCGACGAUGGGUAGCCGGCCUGAGAGGGUGAACGGCCACACUGGGACUGAGACACGGCCCAGACUCCUACGGGAGGCAGCAGUAGGGAAUCUUGCGCAAUGGGCGAAAGCCUGACGCAGCGACGCCGCGUGAGCGAAGAAGGCCUUCGGGUCGUAAAGCUCUGUCCUCAGGGAAGAAGGAAGUGACGGUACCUGAGGAGGAAGCCCCGGCUAACUACGUGCCAGCAGCCGCGGUAAUACGUAGGGGGCGAGCGUUGUCCGGAAUUACUGGGCGUAAAGGGUGCGUAGGCGGCCCUUUAAGUCGGGUGUGAAAGUCCACG